rnacentral:lncRNA from 10 species
AGGUCUGACCGAGGGGAUGAGUGUCUGAAGCCAGGGGGCUCUGGGCUUCUCCGGCCUCAGGCAAGAAGCGGGGCUGGCUGCGUUCGGGACCCAGCGCCCCCCAGGCCCUCCAAAGACUGGUUGAGCUCAGAACCAGAAGGAGCGAGGGAGCAGAGAAAGCCGGGGGCGGGCUCGGGGUAAGACAGGAAGGGAGUGAGAUUAAGGUGAGAAGUGGGAGGGGAAGGAGGGAAACCGAGAGGAAUUGAGGGUGGGCUCGGCGUAUCUAGAGCAGUCCGCGGAGGACGCUGAGGCUCGCCGGGGAAGUGCUGUGCCCGAGGCGCCCCAAAGGUGGGCGGCGGUGCCAGCUCAGACCCACGCCUCUGUCCAAGUCCCGACUCCUGCGGACUCGGCUGCAGGCGGGCUCCAUGAGGGCGGGCAGCAGGGCUCAGACGAUCCGGCUCGGUUUGGUCAGCAGACCCCCGGUAACGCCCCGCACCGUCGGCGAUCCCUGCCCCCUUCCACUGCGCCCCCACAAGCCCCGAGCUCGCCAGUCCUUCCCCGCGGCGCUCCGCUCUGUGGCCCCCUCGCAUCCCACCGUGGGGGUGCAGCUCCCCUGGCACAGCCCGACGGUGGGAGAGGGCGGCCAGCUGGACUAAAAGCCCCGUCCCCGGGCGGGACCUUCCUCCCCGCACCCUGACGCGGAGGUUGGCCGGGGGCCUCUGCGUCCCUCUGCCCCGCGCCCUGGAUGGGGAGGGUCUGGGCUCCGCGCCGCGAGGCAGCGCGACGGCUGCGGGCGACUUGGCGUGCGGUGCUGAGGACCCUGGGGGAGUGUGCGCCGCGGGGACGCCGGGGACUCGGGGUCCUAGUGCCACCGGACGCAGCGGGAGUAGCGCAGGUCUGGGGGCGGGGUCUCUCGAGGCGCAGACAACAAGCUAGAUCCUGAGCCCUCUGCUUCAAAGCGGGUAGCGCCUUCGCCCACGCCUUCCCUCCCACCAUCCCUGCCUGGCUGCCACCCGGAAGUCCCCGUCCGCGCCCCGACAGCGCCGCCCUCCGGCUGGCUGCAGCGCGGGCCCUCGGUAGGGGGCGUUCCAAGGCCCCGCCUCCUCGUCACUGCCACGGAUGACGACGCCCCAGGCCCCCGGCCCCGCCUCCGCCUCUGCCUCCGCGGCCAGCACUGGGGAGCGUCCUGGCCUGCGCUUGCUCCCCAACCCCUCCUUGCCCCGCUCUGAGCCGGCGCGUCCUUGCUCCCCCACCACUCUUCUCUCUCGGGCCAGCCGAGCCCAAAAGGCCUCUCCUCUUCUGUUUUUCCAGUUCCCUCCUCAAUUUCACCUCCUCGGAGACCCUCCACCACCCAGAUCUUCAGCGAGCAAGUCACCUUUCCUUUAGAUAGACAGACAGGUUAGAGAUAGAUUAGAGAGAUUAGAUAGAGAUUAGACGGAUAGAUUAGAUAGACUGAUAAGAUGAAAGAUGUAGAUGGUAGAGAUUUGCAUACAUAUGGAUAGAUACAUAUGGAUAGAUCAUAGACAGAUGGAUGAUUGAUACGAUGUGGAUGAUAGAUGGUUGGAUAAAGAUGAUAGUUAUAGAUGAUAAAAAGGCAUAGAUGAUAGAUACAUAUAGAUGACAGAGAUAGAUAGAGAUGAUAUAUAACAUUGUAACACGUAUAGAUAGGCCACAGAUAGGUAGGCAGUGGGUAGAUAGGAGGUAGAUGGAUGGAUAUGCGUAUAGAUAUAGGUAUAUGUCCUGAAGGGACAACCCGGACCCCAGGCUGGCCAGGACAGUACCCAGGCUUUGGCAACCUCCUCAAUAGACACGAAGCUGCAGGUUUUCAGCUGCUUACGCCGGGCAAACUGUAAAGUGCUUUAAAUCCCUGGAACUAACCACAACGGCAGCUUAGCCUGGAAACUCAAGUGCUGGCUGCAGGCAGUUUGAGCGCAGCUCCAGGGCUGCAAGGUUGCCUGCAAGUAACACGACAUUUGUUCAUUCUUUCAAGCAUCUGCUGAGCCUGUUGCAGCUGCCUGUGGCUGGGUUCCGGCACUCAGAGACCCUGGGCCUGCUCGAGAGGGGCUGACAUUAUGGUGGGCAUCAGAGACACCCACACAGAGCCUCACUUGAUCCAUGUGGCAGUGCCCUGGGAGAGGGCAGGGAGGGGUGCUGGGAAACACGAGAGGGGCAGGCAUUUGACCUGGGUCCUGAGGACGGGCUGAGGUUCCCAGAAGAAGAAAAACCACAUCAGUCAGAGGCACCAGUAGGUGCCCAUAGGAAUAGAGGGCCUGGUUCCUCCUGGGCCAGGAAGCAGUUUUGUGGGGCUGGAUCCCCGGAUCCUGAGAUGACAGUGGGUGCUGGGGUGUAGCUUGUGCUCAGAGAGGAGGAAAGCUGGCUGAGGCCAGGUUGAGAGGGAUUCUGAGAGCCCAUCUAUUUCUCCUGUUCCCAUCUCCUCUGUUAUACCUGUCCCCAGGCACCUGAAAUGACAAAGGUGCACAACCCCGGUCCUCUGGGCGUGGACUUCAAACCUAUACACAUGUGACAAUCCCCGAGUUAGACAGCCCUCCUUCAGGAGCAGCUCUGGAUGUCAAAGGGUUACGCUGCUGUCAGCAGCCCCUCCCUCUGUCUGACCUGAAUCCCCCCCACCCACCCAGGGACAGCCUCCCCCUCAGGGUGACUCAGCCCCUGACUCCCAACUCCCUCCCUGCCAUCAGCUAAGACUGUAACUGGUUACCAUAGCGACCUCAAGAAGCCCGGUUCAUACCCCUCCUUCCUGAUGAGACCUGGAGGUCUAAAUUGCUCCUGAGAUGAAUGCUGUGCACAGCUCCUCACCUGCAGAGAUAUUUGACAGGCAGCAUCCCAGCGCCUUCCUCCCCUGCACAAACUCAGGAAGGGAGCGAUGGCAAGAGAGGGAGGCCAGAUGACAGAUACCUCCACCACCGGGCCUCCAGGCUAGCACUUCCCUCCAUAAUAUGGGGGUCCCCAGGGAGAGGAGGACAAAGGACAUGAAGGCAAGAGCUGAAAACUACCAAAGAAGUUUUUGGUGUCCCCAGGAGAAACUACAGAUCUUCACCAAAGAUGAGUGAGGAGACUGUGAAUGGGCAGACACUUCACAUUCACCCAGGGAAGCCUCCAUCCCCUGGUAAAGACACAAGAACAGGGGAGCUGAACCCUUCGCCUCUGGACUUCGGGACCACCCAUUGGUGCUUGUAAGAACCCAUCGAGGAAAGAAAUGUGCUUGCAGCCUGGGAAGUAUCACACAUGUAUCGGUGAGUUGGGGCUUUGACAGAGAGAAGCCUUUGGGUGCUUCCAAGAAGGGAACACCCCAGCCCCUAAGAGCUUCCUUUCCCUCCUUUGGUCCUCAAAAUCUCAGCCAAGGAGGCCUUGAUUGGCAUUCAUGGGCUAUGGCUUUUCAGGUCAACUUUGAACUCUUACGCCUUUUUCCUAAUAUGAGGGUCUAGAAUGUAAAUUUUGAGAUCCUUACUGAAGUAUGCUUCCCCCUAAACUUGCUGUGUGCACUUGGGCAGGCCAGGUGACCUCUCUGUGCAACAGUUUCAUCCACUGUAAAAUGGCAGUGACAUGAGUAACUAUCUCUUAGGGCUGUUGUGAUGAUCAGAGAGUCAGUAUAUGUGAAUUGCUUAGCAUAGUGGCUGGCACAGAGUAGGUACUAUCUAAGGGUGAGCUACUUGUGGAGAUGAUGCAAUCUGGCCCUGGGAAAUGGGGGUUCAGGCUCACCUUUUACAAAGGGACCCUAGGGGGUCCUAUGAGGCAAAUGCUUCUGGCUUUAAGAUACGUCAAGCCUUAGUCUCCUCAGAUUUUAAACCAUCUCCAUAAAACAGCUGUCCUAGGAAGGAAUCUUGGGCUUCUCUCAGAGUCUCAGACCAGAAACUCUGUGUCCUAAGACACUGCAGCCUCUUACAGGAAGGCACUGCAGGUCUCACAGGGAGAGGAAGAGUUAUACAGAACCCUGUCUUCCCUCUUCCUACACUCAUGUGGGUAAAAAGCUUAGAUUUUUCUUGCACUUGGAGUAGAACAAGGGGUACAGCUAAAGUGAUGGACUGCUGAGAGUUUCUAGCUGCUGCUGGAUUCCAUAAGUUCCAUCGGAUUAAGGAUGAGCUUAAUGUAUAAUGUAUAAACCCAUGGACAGAGACACUGCCUUGUUUAAGCAAUGGUUUACAUUCAUAACACAAAUAUAAAUGGAUAGUCAUUUCUUUCUUCAGGGCCCAGCACAAUUCAUUAGUAGCUUCUAGCCUUUUGUCCCUUUCAAGCAGAAAACAGACCCAGCUCAGAGAGCAGUGGCUGGGUCUGCUCAGGACCCAGGAGCCCAAAGCACACAGGAUCCCAAACGCUCCAGAGUCCAUAGAGACUUUGUUGUCAAGCACAUCAGAGAUCAUGACUGCUAUAUAUUCUUGGUGCUUCUUUUCAUCCAUUCAGAGUCUCAAAUGUUCUCUCUUCACUUUCCUGCUUCAUUCAACUAUGCUAAGACUGACAGCCUCCUGAGAUACUAACGUGAUAAGACACAAUCCCUGCCCUCAAGGAACUUUAGGGUAAGCCUGUCUCCCUGACCUUGGCUUCCUGAACUUAGCCUUGUUCCAUAUAAACCUUUUUCCUCCUUCCUACUUUCCUCCCACCAUCAUUGCUGGCUGGUACCAGCUGCUUACUUUGUGUUUCUAGUUGCAUUUCCUUAGCCUCUGUCUCCAGCUGAGCACUGGACUGCACACUGCAGAAAACAAAGGGGAAGAAACAAAGGCACUGGCCUGAAGGAGUUCAUGGCCCACUGGGGAGCUUUUUCAGAAAUAUAACCAAAGAAGCCCCUGCCCUGGAGAGCUUUCAGUCCACAGACAGUGCAUCCUAGAUAGAAAGGGGCCCUCUCUUAAAGAGGUCCAACCCUUCUCAUUCAUGUAACUAUGGCACAAAACAGUAGGUGCCAGUAGCACAAACAGUUCAGAGAAAGAUGCUGCAGAGUGCUGUUGCCUUAGCAUCCCUGGGAAAGGUGCAUGGGCUGUAACCAAGCCCCAUUGUUCCACCUGGGUGAUCAUGGCCAUUGCUAGGGGAGAGCAGAUUUACAUGUGGACACAGGUACUUAUGCUCUACCUGCAGCGACCCAAAACUCUCUUGCUGUUCAAACAUGUCCAAGCAGUCCCCCUGGGUCCAAGGCAGAGGGCCCACUCCAAGUGGGAGACCACAAAAUGACCUUAUACAAACACCAGAAAUUAGGUCUUAGACACAUGAAUGGGACAAAGACUAAGUGUCAAAAUCCCAAACUCAGUCAGCAGCCAAUGGGUGAAGCGGGCGGCAGGAGCAGAGGAGAAUGCAUGCGCUUCCUCCAGUGUCAUCUUUUUCCAUCCCUACGACCCACAGAAGGGUGACAUUAUUCCCCUUUUACAGAUGCAAACACUGAGGCCCAGAGAGGUUAUCUUGCGCAAGGCCCUGCAAUUAGUAAGUGGUAGAACCAAGACCCAAGCUUUUUAUUUUUAAAGCUGGGUCUUUUCAACUAUACCAUUCAGACUACAAAAGCAGAGAAAUAUUUUCCACUUUUUUAUUUGUUAUAAAUAUUUCAUUGAUCAACAUUUAGUUCCUCAGGCACCUGUGUAAGGUCCUCCACGUCCCAGGGCAGGAGGCCCGGGGCUCUAACUCAAGGCCGUGACCCACAGACACACAGGAAAGGCAGUCCCCUCCCUCCCUUCCUGGCCACAGCAGGGCUGGUGCUGCGGUGUCAGCGCUCCAAGGUAUCUGUCGAGGCAAUUUCAGCUCCAGUUUGCUCAAACUCCAGACCAAAGGCUCAGUCGCAGACUCUGAUGUGCCGAACAAAACCAGAGACAGGAACUCGUCUCAAUCACUGAGUCAGCUGGCGGUGAGAAAAUGGGCAGGUGGAAAGCUGGGGAGGGCCCUCCCUCCAUGUCCCCAUUUCCUAGACUGAGCUGGCCCUGCAUUUUCUGCACCCAGGGCUGCUCCCAGAGCAGGCACUAGAACCCUCUGCAGAUCCCAGACCCUGUUCUGCCCUGGAAGCAGUGAGGCACCUCACAGGCCCCCGAAGUCAUCUGAGGCUGGUGGCUGGAGUGCAGUGGCAUGAUCACAGCAAGAAAUCCUCUAACCUCAGCCUUCUGAGUAGCUGGAACUCUAGGCAGUGCCACCACACCCGACUAAUUUUAUUUUUUGUAGAGAUGGGGUCUGGCUGCAUUGCCCAGGCUGGUCUCAAACUCCUGGGCUCAAGGGAUCCUCCUUCCUCAACUUCCCAAAGUGCUGGCAUUACAGGUGUGAGCCACUGUGCCACCUGGGACUGCUUUCUAAAGAGAUUUUCUAUCUUAGAAUCUGUGGGGGCCACUUGAGGAGGAGCUGGUGAGAGGUGGCAUAAAGGUCUGGCCUGUUCCCCUUUAUUUAGGGUUGAGGAACCCCACAGCGAGGGACUGCUAACUCUGCCUUCAGCAUGUCUGGGAGCAGAGUCUUUCCCCUGGCUCCAUGAAGGCCUCCUGCGGAUCAUUUCUCACCUGCUGCGGAGCCACCUGCGGUGCUGACUGUCCCCUCCUGAACCCUGUGCCUCUCUAUGCCUGUCUUCAUUACCAGGGUACGAUGUCCUUCUCCAGCUAGGUGGAUUGGUUCCCAAAGACUCCGGAAUGAGGAACAUUUGCAGACAGCAAACUUAAAACCCUACGAGAAGAAUAGGGUGGGGGAAUUGUGGCUGCAGAUGAGCUUAGGAAGGUCCUUGGAUGUAUUUCUUCACAUGCGUCACAACACCACGCAGCCCUAUACCAAAGACAUGGCACAUCCCGAAGUCUUCCUCAAAGGUAAAUGACAAUCAAUUUCCAAUUUCCAUUAUUUGCUCCAGAGAGGUGGUUCAGGAAUUCCCUCGCCCUCAAGUUUAAAUGAGAUAUUAAUGAAUUAUUUUUGCCUUGUUGCAGACAACAUACCUGUUAGGAGGUGUGUGUGUGUGUGUGUGUGUGUGUGUGUGUGUGUGUGUGUGUGUGUGAUUCUCCAUCCAAGUGUUUACUUCCUUUCUCAUUUCAUGACUUUGGGUUAUUGACUCCUGUCCCUCCCCAACCUCUGCCCUCCCCAGUUGGGUGACCUGGGACCAACUCCCCAACCUCCACAUCUGUCUCCUUAUUAGUGAAAUGGAGCUAUGACAGAACCCAUGAUGUAGGGAUGCUCUAAGAUUUAAAUAAAGUAAUCCAGGUAAAAUGCCUAGUCAAUUGUCUGGCACCUAAUAAGCAUUCAGUCAGUGGUAGCCAUUACUUUCUUAUUAAUAAACUCAAAUAUCACAACCUACCAAGUGUCUGACUAUCCUCAGGGCUUGGCCUCUCCCAGACUUCAUCUGUCCCAUGCUGGCACUGUCAGAACUAUGCCCAUGAGGCCGAAUCACCCUGACUAUUUUGAGGCAACCUUGCUCCCACAUUUCCACCAUCUGUUGAAGGUAUUUCCUCUAUUGACCCCCAGGGAGGCCCAAGAGGGCCAAGUCACAGAUGGGAUGGGGAAGAGAAUCUAGAACUGAUCCCUCUUAAAGACAGUGCAGACUAGCAGACGGCUGCAAAACCUGGGUGUUGGGGCCCUGGGAACUUCCAGAAGUGGACCAUCCAUCCCUACUCCUCCCAGAGUUACACACACAUCCCAAGUUGAGACAGCACCUGUGACUGGCCUGGCCACACACUCACCAUUAGGUGGUCAAGACCGGCUCUCUAAAGUGGCUGCCUCAGGCCCUGUGGCUCCCAGUAACCAAAGUCCACAGGAGGGGUGGUGCAGUCUGAUUGAUCCAGGAAGUGAGCAGUGAUGGGAACAAGGGAUCCCCCCAUCUUUCUACGAGGCCUUGGAGCCGACUGGAGCAUGUCACAGAGGGGUGAGCAGGACUUAUUUCAUCAUAUGUUCAAAUGCUUGUGACAGACUUCCAGACACUUCUGUUCCUGCCUCUUCUCCCAAACACACACCCAUCCACAGGAACCCUGUACUCAUGUCCGCCAGAUUCAUGUCUACUCGAAUAAAAACUUCAAUUCAGUGGUUACGUUUGAUGUCCCUGUGCCUUUCAACACAUUUUUACAUAAUCUGACUUUAGAGCCUUUUCUUUAUAAUAUGCUUCCUUUCUAAGAGGAGCCGAUGCCUUUGGUUAAUGGAGUCUAUUCAAAAAAUACCUAUUGAAUACCUGCUAAGGCCUGCUGAAAGCCAGACACUUGGGGUGCAGGGAGGGGUUGCCAAUGGGAUAGAGGAAGCCAGAGACACAUACUUUCCCUCCAAGAAGCUUAGAGUGGGGGCGGCCUGGGGGAGAUGGAAAUUCACACAACUAAUGCCAGGCUUGGUAAGUACACGGAAAGAAGUGAACACAAAUUGCUUCAGGAACAAAAGCCUAAUUCCUGUGUUUGCAUGGGCCUCUGAUUUCAGGUUUGUGAAUUCAUGAGUUACGAUUUGUUAAUAUACAUCAUGGUGCAUGAAAUAAAGCUCUUGAUCUAAUAACACUAAUACACACCAAAUAGAGUGUGAGCUGGAUGAGUAAUUAGUGAAGCUCUGGGGUGUGACAUUAGCCCUGCUUGUGGAGGGAGGCGUAGCACUGCCUAUGUGUAUAUACAGCCAUGCCUCCAGUAUGGCAGCCACCAGGCACACGUGGCUACUGAGCACUUGAAAUGUGGCUGGUCCAAACUGAAAUGUGCUGUUAAAUACACAUGAGAUAUCAAAGACCAGAUAUCAAAGAAUCAGUACAAGAGAUUAAAACAGCUCAUGAAUACAUUUUGUACUGAUUACAUGUUUAAACAAUAAUAUCUUAUACAGUCAUGCACCAAUCAACAACGGGGAUACAUUCUGAGAAAUGUGUCGUUAGGCGAUUUCAUCAUUGUACGAGCAUCACAGAGUGAGUUACACAUGCCUAGAUGGUGUCGCCUACUACACACCUACGACACACCUAGAUGGUCUAGCCUACUACACACCUAGAUGGUCUAGCCUACUACACACUUAGAUGGUCUAGCCUACUACACACCUAGAUAGUCUAGCCUACUACACUCUUAAUGGUGUUGCCUACUACACACCUAGAUGGUCUAGCCUACUACACACCUAGAUGGUCUAGCCUACUAUACACUUAGAUAGUGUUGCCUACUACACACCUAAAUGGUCUGGCCUACUACACACUUAGAUGGUCUAGCCUACUACACACCUAGAUGGUCUAGCCUACUACACACUUAGAUAGUCUAGCCUACUACACACCUAGAUGGUCUAGCCUACUACACACCUAGAUGGUCUAGCCUACUACACACUUAGAUGGUCUAGCCUACUACACACCUAGAUGGUCUAGCCUACUAAACUCUUAAUGGCGUUGCCUACUACACACCUAGAUGGUCUAGCCUACUACACACUUAGAUGGUCUAGCCUACUACACACCUAGAUGGUCUAGCCUACUAAACUCUUAAUGGCGUUGCCUACUACACACCUAGAUGGUCUAGCCUACUACACACCUAGAUGGUCUAGCCUACUACACACUUAGAUGGUCUAGCCUACUACACAUCUAGAUAGCCUAACCUACUACACACCUAGAUGGUCUAGGCUACUACACCCUUAGAUGGUCUAGCCUACUACACACCUAGAUAGCCUAGCCUACUACACACCUAGAUGGUCUAGCCUGCUACACCCUUAGAUGGUCUAGCCUACUACACACCUAGAUAGUCUAGCCUACUACACACCUAGAUGGUCUAGCCUACUACACACUUCGAUGGUGUUGCCUACUACACACCUAGAUGGUCUAGCCUACUAUACACUUAGAUGCUGUUGCCUACUACACACCUAAAUGCUCUGGCCUACUACACACGUAGAUGGCGUUGCCUACCACACACCUAGGCUAUACGGCAUAGCCUGUUGCUCCUAGGCUACAAACCUGUACAGUACAAUACUGUACUGAAUACAGUAGGCAGUUGUAACACAGUGGUAAGUAUUUGUGAAUCUAAACAUAUUUAAACGUAGAAAAGGUACAAUAAAAUAUGGUAUUAUCAUCUUAUGGGACCAUCCUCAUAUAUGCAGUCCACCAUUGACUGAAAUGUUAUUAUGUGGCAUGUGACUAUGUAUAUUGGGUUAAAUAAAAUAUGUUAUAGAAUUAAAAUUAAUUUCAUCUUACUUCUUUUUACUUUUUUUGUUUUAUUGUAGCUACUGGAAAAUUUAAAACCCCAAAUGUGAUUCACAUUUAUGGUCCACCUUAUAUUCCUAUUGGCCAAUGCAGAUCUAGAGCAUUCAUAUUCGUUUCGUCAUUUAAUUCUCACCACCAUGCUACAAAGUAGGCAUUCACCCCCAUUUUACAGUCAAGCUAAUUGAGGCUCAGAGAAGUAGUAAAUUACUCCAAGUCACAUGACAUUAGGCUUCAGCAACUCACUUGAGCUGAUGACUAUCUUGGGCCAGUGGCUCAAGGCCUUGCAGCAAGAUGAAGGCCAAGACAACCACGUCUACUGGCAGUGUGGCCUGGGGCCAGUUAUUUGCUCCAUUACUUGUGGGUAAGAACAGAAGGAGAGUAGGUACUCCGUGUGUUCAACAAGUGAGGACGG